rnacentral:rRNA from 1 species
AUUGAACGCUGGCGGCAGGCCUAACCCAUGCAAGUCGAGCGAGAGGCGGACAGGGUAGUAAUGUAUGGGGACUGCCCGAUAGAGGGGGAUAACUACUGGAAACGGUAGCUAAUACCGCAUCCUAUCGGAUAACCCAUAUGGGAUUAGCUAGUAGGUGAGGUAAUGGCUCACCUAGGCGACGAUCCCUAGCUGGUCUGUGAGGAUGAUCAGACACACUGUGACUGAGACACGGCCAAGACGCCUACGGAGGCAGCAGUGGGGAAUAUUGCACAAUGGGAGCAAGCCUGAUGCAGCCAUGCCGCGUGUAUGAAGAAGGCCCUAGGGUUGUAAAGUACUUUCAGUCGGGAGGCGUUACCGACAGAAGAAGCACCGGCUAACUCCGUGCCAGCAGCCGCGGUAAUUC